rnacentral:lncRNA from 1 species
AGCCCCCCCGCCCCCCCAACCUCAGGAGUUUAUCACAACAAAAAUUUAUUUCUUGUUCUCACUAAAUGUCUAACUUAGGUCAGCAGUGGCUCUCUGCUCAUUGCACCAAGCAGGGACCUGGCUAAUGGAGUCUUCACUUUAUCAUAAGCUUCCAAGACCCCUGUGGCAUGAAGAUGGGAGCCAUACAGUAUCUGGCACAACUAAUUAAAUAUGCUAUCCCAGUAUCCCACAUGCUACUUCAACUAACCAUCAAAUGACCUACCCUAACCACAGACAGUUAGGAUAUUGUCCUGGAGGAGAGAAGAAUCUUCAAUGUUAUCCUUGAGGAGAGAAGAAUCAGAUUAUCAGGAAAGUCACAUUAGUGACUGUCACAGCUGCUGUAUUGAUUUUCUACUGCUGCAUGACAAAUUACUACUAACUAAGCUGCUUAAAACAACUUUCUUUUAUUAGCUCAAAGUUCUGUAGCAGAGGUUUAGGUAGGCUUAAUUUGUUCUGUGCUCAGCGUAUCAUAAAGCCAAAAUCAAGACCGAGCUGGGCUCUUGUCUGAAGGGUCAGGCGAAGGAUCCACUUCGAAGGUCAUUCAAGUUGUUGAUAGAAUUCAUUUCCUUGAGGUUGUAGGACUGAGGUCCCUAUUCCUUGCUGGCUAUUCUCUGCUGCUAAAGACUGCUCGUCUUCCUCUCACAUGGCCUCUUCAUCUCCAGACCAGCAGUAGGAUACCAGGUCCUUCUCAUUCCUCCCCUUGUGCCCAUUGAGGCCCAACUAUCCUUUCUGCUUUCCUCAGGAAACAUUAUCUUCCCCUUUUUGUUCUCUUUUUUGCAUCUCUUGUUCAUCUGUAUCUUUCUCUUCUUUUACAGUCUAAAGCUUGUGUUGUUUAAUCUUCCUCUCUCCCCCUCUCUUGCCAUCUCUUCCUAAGGCCAGUCUCACUCUUCCCUCUCUUACCAAAUAAAUCCAGCUUUUUGUCUAUGUGAACAUUUCAAAUAUCUGACUUCCUGGAACUUUCCUGACACAAUUGAAUAGGUCGUACAGGUCCCACCUCAUCCUCACUCACUGGGAUUUGCUUUGGCCCCUGGUGAAAUGGAUCUUCCUGAUGAAUUUUUUCUUGGAACAUCUUCCUUGUGCCAACUUCCCUUACCAACACUGCAGGCGUUCUUGUCUCUCUGAUGCUCUUUUUAAGAGUCCUCGCAGAAAACCCAAUAGUCAUGCUGUAACUGUUAGCUCCUUUUAUUAGCCCAAUUUAUCAGUUCUUGGACUUCCCCUCCAUUAUCAUCUAAAUUUAACCUCUCAUGUAUACAUCUGUCUUUUAUAUAUAUAUAUAUAUAUAUAUAUAUAUAUAUAUAUAUACCUUUCUAAUACUACUUUGAAAACUUUCCAGACUAAUUUUUGCCAUCCUCAAUGAAGUGGAAUGUGGUCUGUCUCCCAAGCAUGCUCUAAGAUCAAAUAUUUGCUGUGUCUUACAAGUGCUCCAUCUACACAGGGUCUCAUUCUGAGGAGGGGCCUUGUCUUUCCAUCUGUGUAAAAAUGUUGGUUAAAAUUUUUUAUUCAAUAAGAGAAUGUUCCAUCAGCAAGUACUUAUAUGGCUUGCAAAACUUCAGGAACUAUCCAGAGUCAGGGCUCCAGGAUACUCUGCUCUAGUCACUGAACAGAGAAUAUAAUCUUUAUCUAAGAGACUGCUCUUCUUUAAGAAAUCUAAUUAUACAAAGUGAUAUUUAGAGGUGAUCAUAUUAAAAAUGUGUUUUCUCUGUUCUCUUCUAAGUAUUUGGAUCCUCAUACUCCACUUUUUCCGUGGACUUUCAAGCAACCUUUGCUCACAGACACCUACUUAUGCUUUUUCCUCUCCUCAGCAAGUGCUACCAUAUGUGUAUCAUGCCAUCUAAAUUAGAGCUGCUGAGUUACACUUUGAUAUUAUGCCUUUUCCUUAUGACUGAUGAAAAGCUCCUGAAGAGGUGAGAGCUUAACCCAAACAAAUCAAUCUUUAAUGACAGAACUUUAGUUAAUGUGGCACCAAGAGUAAAACAGAUAUUUAAGUCAAAGGUCCUGCCAAGAACCCUUCAAAUUUCACCACAGAGUUAACUCCUAUUCUGCUGGGAAGUAAGGCUUGCUAUUCUUUGCACAUGCUGCCUGUUAACUAGUAAGGGAUGUUCUCAAUCCCGUGCCCCAAAGUGACAUUCUCCUUCUUUAUACAUAAGCUCAAGACAACCUGAGUCUGUUUUGUAUUUAAAGGAGAAAAGGACUUCUUGACUGGAUGAGCAAAGAAAGAUCCACACUUGGAGGAACUAGAGGCUUUUUCACUCUAAGCUGAGACAUGUAAACAUGGAAAUAUGGAAAAUGUAGUUAAAUUACAAAAUGAAUUUUGAUGAUUCAAGUUGAAUGGAAUUAAGUAUAAAAAUGUACCUCAAACGUUGUGCAUGUUCGAAUCACCUGGGGACCUCUUUCAAAAUGCCAAUGCUCGUACUCCAUUCUAGGCCAAUUAAAUAAGCAUGCCUGGGAUCUGGAUAUUGGGUUUGUUUGUUUGUUUUCCAUUUCAAUCUUCCAGGAGAUUCUAUCAUACAGCCAAGGCUGAGACCACUGGAGCAGAGGGGAGGAAUCAGAGGGACUGAAAAUGAGCCCUGAAGGCUUGGCCAGAUUCUGAUACCUGGAGAGGAGUAAAAACGGCAGCCUUGCAAGAGACUGGUGUGAGAACAAAUAGACUGGACAAUGGCCCCAGUUUGGGCUGUCAAGAGAUGGCCUGACCUGAGCCAGUGCCUCCUGUUGAGAAGGUAGAAGAUCCUGGGCUUCAGACAGAGAGACUGCUGGGGGAUGUGCAAGGUGGAAAGCCGUGUUUGUGAUUCAACCCCCUCACUCUGAAGUAGAGAGCUAAAGCUAAGAGCACAUUGACUGACGACGGGAUUUAGAAGCAUCUGCUAUCUACCAAGCCAAGAUGGGGAAACGCCCACAGGGAUGAGAGGAAGGAAUUCAUAGCAUGUACAGUGAAUCGUGUUGUUGUCUAAUACUAUGCUGCUAGGAGAUGGAGUAUUUGGUUCUGUGGAGCAUGCAGCAGUCCCACUGGAAUUCUAACAUAGGCCAGGUUACAUGAAUAAGAAAGAUGGACUUUAAUGAAGAUUAUUCCCUUUGAUGUAAGAGAGACCCAUGAAAGCAUCCAAACAAAAGAAAGGAAGAAGCAAGGAUUAAGACAGUCAACUCUCCCUUAGCCACAAGCCUGAAGAAAGAGCAGGGCCUGUUUCUCUGUCGUUGUGACCACGCCAGGCCUCGUGCAGGGCCCGACCUGUGGAAGUGACUCAGGAACUGCCAGUUUUAAGUGUCCCUUUUGUGAAACUGUAACACUCAUUUCGUCUAACUUCUGCUUUACAGCCUGGCACUAAGAUGCCAAAGUUUUUCUAGUUUUAGCUCAUAAUCGACUUCUCUAUGACUCAGGUCUCUCUCGUAGAAAAGAUAAUGCUGCCAGUGGCAGUUGCCUCACAGGCUCUGUAUCACCACUCCUACCCCCCUACAAACACUCAAAUUGGCUCCAGACUGGUUCUGGAUUAGUUAAUUCCUAAGCUCUUUCUGUGUUUUCCUGUAUUUGAAGAGCACAUGUCAGAGAGUUUGGUCCUCACAUACACGUUUCCAAAGCAGUAACAGCAGCUCAGUUCUAGGACGUUGGUCCUGCUGAAACCCAGGGAGGGAAAGGGAGAACUUUCUCUAGGGGGCAGUUUUCAUAGGCCCCUUAAAUUCCAUAGCAAGGGCUCUGUUAACAGACACUGAGGCAUAGGAGUAAGAAUGUCUGCUAGCAUGAGGGUAUGGGAAUAUGCUUCUAGAAAGAGUCAUACUCAGUAGAGGACCAGGGUGCCAGGGACACAGGAAUCAAAGGAGAAAUGGAAAUCAGGAACGUUUAAAUACAUUGAAUGGGAAACAAUGAUACCUCGGAAAAGACUUGAUGAUUGGACUGCUACCGUUGCAAAUUUCUAAACUCUAGAACACAUGCUAUGUCAAAUGGCGCUUUCUGGGAUGGGAGAUAGAACUCAUAGGUGGAGUUCCCUCUCAGAUAUGAUAGAAGUACUGUGCCCAAAUUAACUGUUGUUUAAAAAGACCUCUCAACAGAGUUUAAAUUUGCAGGUGAUGGUUUUCUUGAGCAGGCAUGGCCUGAUUGACCUCCUUUGGAGGCGGAAUCAAAAUUUCGCCCAUAUACCCCCUUCUCUCAGAUAUCAUUGACUCUUUGCUGUAUUCUUCGGCAGCCCUAAGUUCUGGGUUUCUUUGCCUGAGAUGAGGGCUUGAGGACUGGGAAUUACCUUCGCUUCUACAUUGUUAGGUUUACAGCAUACUGGAGUAAUCUCUUAUGUUCUAAUAAAUGUUUGAACUCUUUAAAAAGUGAGGUACAUGACGGACUUGAUGUGGAACUAAUUCAGCUUCUGUGGUCCAAAGGAGCCACCUAUAUUCCAGUGAUGGACAACACAGGCUGUGGUUGCUAAAGGAACCAAAUUCUAUUCAGGCAUUGAGAAAACAUCUUCAACUAAGGGAAAGCAGAAUACAAAAAGGACUUCACUUUCUUUGGGCUUUUCGUACCCGAGGACAAGAAUAUUUGAUUUUGGAGUUGAAUUACUUUGAAUUUUGAUGUAUUUGAACUUGACUUUCCAGACAAUCUAAUCUAUGGACUUUAUCCCAAAAAAUUUUAUCCUGGAAGGGAGUUUAUAUUCCGAUAUUGGGAAUUUUAUUAUUGGAUUAAUUUGAAAUUUCCUGGUGAGUUAUAUUAGGCAGUGUGCUUGAACAGAAAUCAGGAUGGGGAAAACAUAGGCAGGCAAAUAUCGGUUGGCUACAGUGGUCUUAAAAUUAAUUUAAUUAAUGACCUGUUUCAGUGGGGAAACAUCUACACUGUCAUCAGCAACCUCAGUAGAGUCCUCAAUGCAGGAGGGAUUGGUAUGGGGGAGAACUUUAUAAAAAUAGAAUUAGACGACCCUAAUGGGCUGCCCAAAUUCUCCCUCAAGGAGAUAACCAUACCAUUUUGACCAUAUAUUUAAAGUUAAACCAAAUGAGUUAAGAGAACCAAGGUCUUGGGAGUAUUGAUUGGAAAGCAUCCGUUAUCCUGGUUCAUGUUCCCAAGGGAAGCAACAUCCAUCAGCAUAACCUCUUGGCUCCUCUCCUCUCAUCUUACUCACUCCCUUUCAAGGCAGGUGGAAUGAAUGAUCAAGUUGGGGAGACAGGGAGAAGAACCAGGGAUGCUCAGUCCUUUCUUUGCUCUCCUUUUGGGCUCUUUCUGCCUUCAGAGAGCCUACGUUCUUCUCUGCUCUUGGCCAUGAGCUAAGCUUAGUGCUUGAAGCUUCUCUUGGGGAGGACUACAGUUUUGUCAUGCUAUUCAAGAUUGAGGUGCAGUAUUAUGAAAUCUGUUGUUGCUUUUCACUUAAACCACAAUCUCUGUCACUUCUAUAAUUGAAAAAGUUGACGUUUUGAACUCUCUCUGCCUUGUCAUAGAUGCUGGAAAGACUUCUAUUUAUAUGCUAGAUAGUCUUUGUCAAACUACUUAACCUAUUUCUCAAUUUCCUCUUGUGUAAAAUGGGGGAAAACCUGUAUCUACUUUUACAAGAUUGUUAUAUGUUAAAAGAGUUAAUGGAAAGUGCUUAGGAAAGUACUAUGUGAGUGUUUGCUAUUACUUCUUUAUCUUGCCUAUCAAUUUGUACAGAAUUUGGGGAAUGGGGAUGAGAGAUGCUUUUUAUUGGGUCUCCCAUGAAGUCCAAUAAUCAGUACUACGUACACACACACAAUAAUGUCAUAGUCCUGGCUUCAGUUUAGUAGUAGGAACAGACAAGUGAAUUGAUAAUUGUAGUACUGCGUGUGACGUGUUAUUAUAAAGACAUGCUAUGUGCUAUGAGAAGUCAGAGAUGGGAGCAACUGACAAUUCAUAUGUUACUACAGCUGUACUCGAGACUAGGCCAAGACAGAUUGUGAAUUGGAGCCUAAUAUUUUUCAGCCCCAGAGUUAUACUUUCAUUGUAGUGCCCUCCUUCCCCAUUUUUCUGCCACACAGUGAUCUAUGCUCUCUCACCACUCCCUGGCUGCCCUCCUGGAGUUGCUCCCUCCAAUAUUCAGUUCCAGAUUCAAUAGCAGGUUGGCACAACGGCUGCCUGAGGCACCCAUCCAUAUGAGCUGCCAAACCAUCAGCUGAGGAUUGAAAACAUCCCUGGAUAUAUAACAAGGUAGAGAAAAUUGAGUUUAUCAGAAAAGAAAGGACAUGUGUACCAGACGAGGAUUAUAGUCCAAGCAGCAGAAGCUAGCUGGGGAUGAUUAAGCAGAAAAGGAAUUUAUUAAAAAGAUAUUUAGCAGAUCACAGAAUCAUCAAAAGCAAGCUGGAAACUAAGUAUUUAGGGCAAUGUUCCAAAACCACGUUGUACUGCCGGUCUGGUGAGAAAACUGCAGCUGAGGCCACUGCACAAUAGAUAAAACGAUUUGCACCACUGCCGUUUGUGCAUCAGAACGUCACUGCUUCUGCAACCACUGUUGCUGCCUGUACUGAUGCCUCUUCCUCACCAGCAAAGCAACUUGCAUCUUCUAUAGCCACUCCAGACAAUGCUGGAUAUUUCUCCUUUGGUCUUGCAGCACAACAACAGCAGAAAAACAGAUUCUGUGCAAUUCUUGCUUUUGUUACUGCUUACUUUCUAUAACAGUUUUGAAAAGGUGGCAUCCGGUUGGUGGAGUCCAGGUAACAGGUUUGAAUUCUAGCUUCAAAGAAGCUGACAAAGCCAUGUCUCUGGCUUCUCCCUUGGGGUGGUGUUGGAAAGGUCUUAGGAAGCCAGAACACAUGACAGAUGUCUAGUAUACCACUAAGAACCUUGGAGGAAGAGUGAGACCCUUUAAAGACUUGAUUGAAUAAUGAUUGAUGCUAGUAAAUACUUUAUAAAGUCUUUUUCUUUCUUUUUCAAAUUAAUGGAAAGGUUUUCUUUUUCUUUUUUUUUCCUUUUUCCUGGAAGUUUGGAGCCAGAACUCAGAAAAAUACAUGCAAGGCCAAGCACAUCCACUAUGGGUUCCCUUUAUCCAACAUUCCCCACACACUGAUCUGCCUCUCCUUUAAGUGUUGAAUACAUAUUGAAAGCAAAUUAUUUUGAAGGUGCAUUGAGUUACUAGCCUACCUGGGGUACUCACAUGUCUUCAUAUUUAAUGGUGUGUCAUGGUAAAGUUCUCUCCCUGCCUUCUCCAAAGUACGGUAUCAAAGAUUUUCUUGUUGAAAUAAGACAGUGUCAGAUAUUGUCUGAUCUUCAAAGCCUUCUGAAAUCGGGACUAAAUUAGCUCUUCAUCUUCUAGUACAUUCUUCCCCUUACCAGAUGCCAUGAUCACACUGGGCACUAUAGGCCUUGCUCAAAUAUAUCAUUCUAUUCGUGCUUCCAAGUAUUUAUGAAUUCAGGCCUUGAUGACAAAAUGCCUUCAAGUCUUGGCUCUGAAAUCUCAUAGAUAAGAUAGUUUGGUCAAGUUUUCUUCCAUAAAAAAGGAAAUACCAAUACUAUCAAGUAAAU